UACGUAGGGUGCAAGCGUUGUCCGGAAUUAUUGGGCGUAAAGAGCGUGUAGGCGGCCCGAUUAGUCCGCUGUGAAAGUCCAGGGCUCAACCCUGGAAUGCCGGUGGAUACUGUCGGGCUAGAGUCCGGAAGGGGCGAGUGGAAUUCCCGGUGUAGCGGUGAAAUGCGCAGAUAUCGGGAAGAACACCUAUGGCGAAGGCAGCUCUCUGGGACGGUACUGACGCUGAGACGCGAAAGCGUGGGGAGCAAACAGG
rnacentral:rRNA from 1 species